CUUGCAAUGCCAAUUGUCAAACAACUGUCACUUUGAAACAUGCUCGUGCUUACCGUCAUCUUCACCCGAGACUGCGUCCGCAACAGCCAGUUCCCCUAAGCAAGAUUCACUUAGAAAUUGGAGAGCAUACUUGAUCGGCUCCAUUUUUCAACACGGUGUACCUGGCCAUCUUCAUCGUAUACGGCUAUGAAAAGAAAUGGUGGACUUCACUAAACUGUUUCUGCCAAAAAAAGCCAGGGAGCGAAUCAAGUGAACCAGAUCAAGCAGUAGAUCCCUUGUCCGGCAGGACAUCGCAUCAGACUGCCGGGGACAGUAGGAGAGAAGACGAGGCGAACACAGAUUCAAGAACCACAAAGAAACGCUGUUGCAACACUGUGCUAUUAGCAUUAUGUGUAUUUUGUUAUGUCUUGCUGAAUACUAUUCUGUCUUUAAUAAUGUAUUUCUACAUGUAAGGCAAUUCAUAUGUAACACUAUGUAUGCACUCUUGUAGUUUUGUAAAAUAAAUAUAAUGAAACCCCUCUCUUCAUCCCCACGAUAGGAUGUUAGUGAACAAUUUCGACUAUAUAAGGAACGCGGGGCGCGGUGGGCGAGCUGGCUAAGGCGCCAAGCUAGUGAUCCAGCGAGCUUGAGGUGACG